CUCGUAGGCGGCUUGACAAGUCGGACGUGAAAACCCGGGGCUCAACCCCGGGACGCCGUUCGAAACUGUCAUGGCUAGGGUCCGGUAGAGGUGAGUGGAAUUCUAGGUGCAGCGGUGAAAUGCGCAGAUAUCUAGAGGAACACCAGUAGCGAAGGCGGCUCACUGGGCCGGUACCGACGCUGAGGAGCGAAAGCAUGGGGAGCAAACA
rnacentral:rRNA from 1 species